rnacentral:rRNA from 1 species
GAUGAACGCUGGCGGCGUGCCUAAUACAUGCAAGUCGAGCGAACAGAUGAGGAGCUUGCUCCUCUGACGUUAGCGGCGGACGGGUGAGUAACACGUGGAUAACCUACCUAUAAGACUGGGAUAAUUUCGGGAAACCGGAGCUAAUACCGGAUAAUAUAUUGAACCGCAUGGUUCAAUAGUGAAAGACGGUUUUGCUGUCACUUAUAGAUGGAUCCGCGCCGCAUUAGCUAGUUGGUAAGGUAACGGCUUACCAAGGCAACGAUGCGUAGCCGACCUGAGAGGGUGAUCGGCCACACGGGAACUGAGACACGGUCCAGACUCCUACGGGAGGCAGCAGUAGGGAAUCUUCCGCAAUGGGGGAAAGCCUGACGGAGCAACGCCGCGUGAGUGAUGAAGGUCUUCGGAUCGUAAAACUCUGUUAUUAGGGAAGAACAAAUGUGUAAGUAACUAUGCACGUCUUGACGGUACCUAAUCAGAAAGCCACGGCUAACUACGUG